AUUUGCUGCUAAUGGAGCUGCAUUUAUGAAUUAUGAUACAGGCUAUCACUGGAGAUUCUGUUCUUUUAAAAUUUGAAAAGGCAAGAUCUGCUCUUGUAGAUAGUCUUAGGCGUGUUUACGACAUUGUCCCACAAUGUAUUGGAUGCCAGAUUUUGGAGAUUGUAAGUGAAUUGGAGGGCAUUGUGUUCUCACUUGAUCCAUUAGAGAAACAAGUGGGUGAUGAAGUAAUUGCAUUGCUUCAGCAAGGGAGAAAAUUUGAUAACUGUAAUGACAAUAAUGAGCUAGAAUCUUUUCAUCAGGCA
rnacentral:misc_RNA from 1 species